UUCCAUUUCCCCCAACGUUUGACACGAAAGGCUUUUCUGAUAGGCUGCCUCCGCAGUGGCCUCAGUACAGCUGAUUCUCUGGGGGUCAGGAUCAUAUAAAUAGUUGCUGCGGGGGGCACCUGGUCUCAGACCAGAGGAGCGACAUCUCUGCCACCGCUGCCGCCCGGUCCCGAGGCGGGGUCCCGGUCGCCCGCGCGCCGCCCCAUGCACCUCUGCCUCGGCCGGUGCGCACCCCCGCGGAUCGGCCGCGGGGAUCCGCGGCCCCGGCCGGCCUUCCGCUCCUGUCUGGCACCACCUACCGAAGCCCGGAGGCCCAGGAAGCGGGUGGUGUUCGCAGACACCAAAGGGCUCUCGCUGACGUCCGUGCACAGCUUUGGAGAUGCUGAGGGCGCAGACUCAGAGAAGAACUUAUGCGGUGGGUCCAGGGGAGCGCGCCCCGCACCGCCCAGCUCGCCAAAGCCAAGACCCUCGGUUCCGGGCCUCCCGGGCCCGGGCAGGACUCCCGGGUCCCCCGAGGCGUCUGCAGACCCCCCGUGGCCGGGGGCUUCCAGCGAGGCGCCGUGCGGGCUCGAGGGCUAGGUUUCCAUAAGGUGCCGCCCUUGCGCAUCGCUCUGGGUGCCUGGGGCUCCGUCCUUGAAACGCCGCGACUCACGCCUGACGCCUAGUUCACCGCCCUGCCCAUCAGAAUGAAACUGAACUCUUCGAGGGCGCACAUAUAGGAGCCCUCGCGGGUUACUUUCUCUGCGUCAAGCGAGAAUCCCUGGCUCAGAGUGUGCGCACCUUUCCGAUUUCCCCUGGAGCCCGUCUCGGACUCUUCCAGCAUCACUGUGGGGAGAUGAGACGAACACAACUCCUAGCCCCUCAGCAAGCCUUGAAUGCCCUGCAUUCUUAUCUCUCAAAGAAAGAUGCUGCCAAUGGCGCCUGGCCCCCUUCACCCUCUGCAGAGAAGCCAAAUGUAAACAAAGCUUUGUUAUAAUUAUUUCAAAGGCCUGGAAGAGAGUGUCUGUAAGCAAGGUGCAGGUGGGUAGGCCGAGAUGGGGAUGGGAGGAGGAACUGAGAAUAGAAAUGGGCUCUUUUACUUCCCUCUCCCUUUGGAAAAGGCUCAUUUUCUGGUAGUUUCUUAAGCUUUUUCUUUUGACCAGCCCUGCGGCAUGUGGGAUCUUAGUUCCCCAGACCAGCGAUGGAACCUCAUCACUCCCUACCCUGGAAGUGCAGAGUCUUAACCACUGGAUGGCCAGGGAAGUCCUUUGCUUCUUCAACUUUUGCCAAAAGAAAUGUUUGUUGACGCAUUUUCAAGCUGUAAACAAUUGACCUUUCUCCUCUUCAGCAGAUAAGAGUCUGGGACAAGUCUGUCUACCUUAAAAUAGGCACACUUAAAAAAAUUAAUGUUUACACCUGCGAUGCAGGAGAGGGGGGUUCCAUUCCUGGGUGAGGAAAAUCCCCUGGAGGAGGAAAUGGCAACUCACUCUGGUAUUCUUGCCUGGAGAAUCCCAUGGACAGAGGAGCCUGGCUGGCUACAGUCCAUGGGGUUGGAUACGACCGAGCAACUAAGCAUGCACCUUUUUAAAACUAUAAUUUACUGAGGCCAGAAGGCUGACCUUUGCUUCUGUGGAUACCCACACUUUCCCUGUUGUAUUUACCACCCUGUAUUGAAACUGUCCACUAAACUGUCAUAAAUAAAGAAUGCUGCCCACCA